CCCCUGUCACAAGCGCUUCUUGUCGUCAGGCGUUCAUUGGCUCCACUGAGCUGGUUGCUAGGCAAUCCAGGCUGCAUUAAUAUGCGCGGUAGAAGGAGCAGGGGAAGCCUCUUCUCUCUGGAGCGUGGCAACUGCUAUGACAGCGUCAGCAUGGGUAGAAGACUGAAUCCCUCGCUCACAGCCCCUGCUCUUAUAGCCUUCCAGCGCACAUACUGUUCGGUAGACAGCAAGGGAAACACAGCCACUAGAGCAGAGUAACAAGACAAGGGUGGUUAGGUUGCUAACAAUUUACAGAGGGAAAUCCACUGUCUGAAAUCAGUUGAAGUUGUUGCUUGUUUGAAUAGUUUUUUUUUACCUUAAAAUUGAAAAGCCAGCUGAAACUGUUUCAAAUUUGCUAAGCCUCAUGAGCCAACGUUUGACAGUGUGAGUUAGUAUUUUAAAAAGAAAACUGUAUGUUAUAGUAUGUAUUUUAGGGUUGACGUGUACAGUACUCUGAUAUCAGAAAGAAGACUAAAGUCUUUGGUGGAAUCAACAGAGGUUUGCAAAGCAAAAAGAUGGGAGAUUGAAUUGUACACAUGAAACCACUUCCCUCAUCUGCUCAUCAUCUGACUCCCCUCUUCAACCUGACAUCAUCUCCCCAUCAGAAGAGGAGAGAAGAGCAGUACUGUUCCAGCUCUGGCUCGUCAAGGCUGAGGAGGAGAAACUGACGACAGCGCGAACUUGGUCACUAGUGAGAUGCAACUCGGGGAGGGAACACUCAACUGCCGCGGGGUACGACAUCUGAUGAAAGAAGCCCUCGAAUUGGACAGCCUGGAAGACGAGCCAGCCCUCUCCCUCAGAUCCCGUGCCCCCCCGCUGCCAAUGUAUGAAAGGGACCGACUUUUCCCUUAGUUGCCAGGGAUGUCUGUGCACUACAGAAAGGCGAAAAAUCCCUCCAGUAUGUCCAAUGCUAUGUUCUUCCUGAUGCUCUGCAAGACGCUGAACCCGACUAGGUGUAACUGGAGAGCCUGGAUGUGUUGUUCCAGACUGGUCUGAAAGGAAAACUGCAGACCAUUCCUGGAAAAAUGGUAAACACUGCCAUCUGUGAUGAAGAAAAAGGAAUUCAAGACAAGGAAGGUACAGAGGAGUCCAUACUGGCCAUGCUUGGGAUCAUCGGCACCAUUCUCAACAUGGUAGUGAUCAUCUUUGUCUACAUCUACACCACGCUGUGACUGUGAUAAAAAGCAACUAUUUUGCAUUGAACAGGCCUAUCGGGCCUACUGGAUGCAGCCAUGUUGUUUGGCUGGGAGUUGAGACUGUGCCGAGAUGGCACUGUGUCGUCGAUCGACUUUCCCAACUAUCAAAGGGAUCUAAGGCUGUGUGAUUACCGCAUUAAAUGUAACCUACAGCAGCGUCAUAGAGCGGCGCUGAAACUAUGUCUAUGGGAGACUGGCCCGUUCUUAUGGGACCUUUGUCCGGGGGUGUCAGUAUCAUACCUACUCUCUGAUGCUACUUUGACCUUUUAACCUGUAAAUAUGCAUGAGGCUAGCACGAGCCACGCUCUCAAGAUCCAGCUUUCUUUCACAGGUGCCAAGCCGAGGAGAAAGUAAAGAGACUGCAAUCUGGUGUAAAAUGAGCUUAAAGCACUGCAGCAGUCUUUUGAAAAAGCCUGAUAAACAUUUUGAUAUUAAAAGGGAUGAUACAGCAUACCUAGAGAGUGGACAGAUGACAUUCUGGAGAAAAGGCAUGGUUUGUGCGAUCCGCGAUCCUUUGUACGUCCAUACCUUAAACCCUAACCCUAACCUUAACCCCUACCCUUACACUUACCUUAAUCAUAACCCUUACCUAACCCUAACCUUAACACUUAACCAUUUUACAUUUCAACUUCAACGAGGUAGGGACGUCCCAAGGAUCUCUGAUUGCAAUGACCAAAAAGGCAUGUACAGUAUGAGUAAACGGAUCAUUUAGCCAAAACUGUUUUUACACAAGUACUAUCAUAUUGUAAAAGAAAAAGUUUUUACAGAAAAAGACUUUGAACUGAGUGUGUUUAGUGGGUAGGCAGUAGAAAUGUGUAAGUCAACCUGAGUGUACGCUAUUUAUUGCCGUGUUCUGAUUUCUAUUUUCAGGAAAGAAUAUUUUGAACCAUGUUACUUUACAUAAUUUGUUUACUGUAAGUACAGUAAUAGAAAAGGAGACAACCAUUUUUGGAAAUAUCUCUAUUUUGGCAGUAGCAAAAUGAGGAGGAAAUUUUCAAUUUCUAAGAGUUCUUGUUAGUGUUGUUGAGAUGCACUUUUUCAUGAGUAUCAAGAAACCAAGUGAAUGAAAUUAUGUUAAGUUUUGCUUUCUGGAGGUAGGUAGGUAUUUGGUGAAGUAGGGCGUAGCAUCAAAUAUGAUCACAAACAGGUGAUCUUCAUAAGACAUGAUAGAGUGUCAAAAUGUGCAUUUAAAAUGGUGAUAUGGGAAAUAAUACUAUUACAGUGUAAUCAAUCACUUUAUCUAAAUGUAUAAAGCUUUAACUGAGCUUCUGCGCUUCGAUUGAAGACUAUGUUUUGUGUUGUCCCCUCCUUCAGGACUGUGUCAAGUAAGUAAUCAAUGGUAAACUUCUGCAUAUUGAUUGUGUUGCCUUGAGAUAAUAUGUACAGUGAAUUUAAAAGCACAAUUUAGAAAUGACUAUUCACAGUACGUACGAAUGUAUGGGCAAAUGUGUGUAAAGUGUGUAUGCUGCAGCCUACAACCUCUUGUGAAUUUAAGAAAGUGCCUAAAUUCAAGUUCAGUAUCUCAAUCCCAUCGUUCAGAUCUCAAAGCAGAAGAGGACAACAUACAAGGGGAUCUAUCGGCAAGACAUGCCACACAGAGCAAAGUCUGUGAAAGUGCUUCAUGACUGUUUAACCUGCCCUAAUGGCUAUCUUCAGUACAACAUCUCUAGAACGCUGGUAACUAAUUACAGAUAAUCCUUGCUCAGUGUAUUAUGACACCCUCCAUCAUCUUUAUAUCUACUCUUGAUUUCCAUUAGGAGCCAUUAGAAAAGGUUCAAAAUUAGUCCCAAAGGUGACGUGUUCCUAUUCCAUUUACUCUUGAAUUGGCAGAGACUUGAAUGGGAACAGUAGUGGAGUAAGUACAUGGACAGGGUUGAGAAUGUACACCACCAUUCAAAAGUUUGGGGUCAAUUAGAAAUGUCCUUAUUUUUGAAAGAAAGACAACUUUUUUGUCCAUUAAAAUAACAUCAAAUUGAUCAGAAAUUUGGUGUAGACAUUGUUAAUGUUAUAAAUUACUAUUGAAGCUGGAAACCCCUGAUUUUUAAUGGAAUAUCUACAUAGGUGUACAGAGACCCAUUAUCAGCAACCAUCACUCCUGUGUUCCAAUGGCAUGUUGUGUUAGUUAAUCCAAGUUUAUAAUUUUACAAGGCUAAUUGAUCAUUACAAAACCCUUUUGUAAUUAUGUUAGCACAGUGGAAAACUGUUGUGCUGAUUUAAAGAAGCAAUUAAACUGGCCUUCUUUAGACUAGUUGAGUAUCUGGAGCAUCAGCAUUUGUGGGUUCGAUUACAGGCUCAAAAUGGCCAGAAACAAAUAACUUUCUUCUGAAACUCGUCAGUCUAUUCUUGUUCUGAGAAAUGAUGGCUAUUCCAUGUGAGAAAUUGCCAAGAAACUGAAGAUCUCAUACAACGUUGUGUACUACUCCCUUCACAGAACGGUGCACAACUGAGCAAAAGGACAUGUACAUUAGUGUCUAGUUUGAGAAACAGAUGCCUCACAAGUUCUCAACUGGCAGCUUCAUGAAAUAGUACCUGCAGUCCCAACGUCAACAGUGAAGACGUGACCCCGGGAUGCUGGCCUUCUAGGCAGAGUUGCUAAGAAAAAGCCAUAUCUCAGACACGCCAAUAAAAAGAAAAGAUUAAGAUGGGCAAACGAACACAGACACUGGAGAGAGGAACUCUGCCUAGAAGGCCCGCAUCCCGGAGUCGCCUCUUCCUUGUUGACAUUUAGACUGGUGUUUUGCGGGAUCUAUUUAAUGAAGCUGCUCAAUGUAUACAGUAAAGUGCUUGUUAGUCCAGGAGUCUUAAUCUGCGUCUGGGAAACUGUCCCGCAAAGCCCAUUACACAUAGUUUAAUGGGUAAUAUUGGAAGAAGUACUUUCAAUACUGGAAAAUUCCCGAACAUUCUCGGAUCUUAUCUUCCUUUUUUUUCAUGUCUAAGAUGCAGAGUUUUUUGUGUGCCG
rnacentral:lncRNA from 1 species